GAGUUUGAUCUUGGCUCAGAUUGAACGCUGGCGGCAUGCCUUACACAUGCAAGUCGAACGGCAGCACGGGAGCUUGCUCCUGGUGGCGAGUGGCGAACGGGUGAGUAAUGCAUCGGAACGUAUCCUGGAGUGGGGGAUAACGUAGCGAAAGUUACGCUAAUACCGCAUAUUCUGUGAGCAAGGAAAGGCGGGGACCUUCGGGCCUCGCGCUCUUGGAGCGGCCGAUGUCGGAUUAGCUAGUUGGUGAGGUAAAGGCUCACCAAGGCGACGAUCCGUAGCAGGUCUGAGAGGAUGAUCUGCCACACUGGAACUGAGACACGGUCAGACUCCGUACGGAGGCAGCAGU
rnacentral:rRNA from 1 species